UCCACCUCCUCCCUCUCCUUCUUUCAGGCUCUCGAUAGUGCCAGCUCCCCAUUGGUCACUAGAGCUAUGACGUAGGCGACGUCCGCUACAGCGGAUUGGACAGUGGAGGAAGAGUUUGGGAAUCUGGCGGGGGACGCUGGUUGGCCUGUUACUCCGGCAACUGAGCAAACAACCCAGGCAAGCGACUGAGAUCCGACCAGAGCUAGCUUCUUGGUCCUGCCUUACUCCCGACGACUACGGAGUCACUUCUAUAGCAUCUCAGCUCCUUCCCUUUCUUUCUCUCGGGAUUCUCAUCCCCCGGAACUAGGUGUUCUGCCUUCGACCUUUCCCCACACUCCAACCCCCACCCCAAGACACGGUCACCGGCCACAAAAGGCUGGAACGAAUCUGCAUAUUAGGGACCAACCCGCGUGCUCCUUCACCACUGUUUAUUCUAGGCCAAAAAGCUUAGACUGAGAUUCUAGCCCUGUCCCCAGCUUCUGCCCUUUACUCAUAUGCUUACAAUUUCCUGGAACAGAGGUGGGGGUGGGUGCCAGACGGAUGACAGGAAAUCAAAGGAGAACCUCAGCCCGCCUUCCCUACACGCUGGGUCAUGGCUACAUCCUCCCCCCACCCCAACCCGCAAGCCUGGUGGGCGUCUCAUCUUCGCCAUCUCGUGGCUACGAGGGAAAGAUUCAGUAUGGAGAAAGGGCCAAAGCCCAGAGAAGGCUAGGGGGACUGAAGACGGAAAAGUGGUAUUGCGCCAGGGACUAGGGGAACGAACCAGGCGAGGUCGAGCGCAGAAGGAGGACCACAUUGAGCGGGGAGGGGUCAAGAGCCAGCAACUUUCGGGUCCCCUCAUAGUCAAUCAUCUCAGGGAUCUUCUGCUUCACGUCGGCAGCUAGCUCAAGGACCUAGGGAGGCAGAAGCUUAGAGCUGGCCUGCCCUUCCUCAGCACGCUCCCUCCCACGGGACAGCCUCUGCUCCUACCUUCUCCUCUCGGCUCUGGCCGCCAAUCCUGGUGGGUGUGAUUUGGGGUUGCAGGGAAAGCAGAGUCUCAAAGAGGGUCCGGGCCUCAGUGAUCUGGGAGGCCACAUCAGCAUUGGGAUGCUGGCCAAAGGCCUCAGGGGGGUCCAUGCUGGGUAGCAAGCUGAUAUAUUCUUUGUAGGAGGCCAAACUCCCAUCCUUCGGGAUGAAAUAAGUGUCCAAUACGGACAACCUGGGCAGCCACAGUGGAGUAUUAUUACCACAUUGCAGGACUUGAAGGGCGUUCAUGCCAAGCCCAAUCCCCAGUCUCAAUACUUUCCCAUUUGUCUAACUCGUGACCCUUGCUCUUCCUCCCAAUCCCACAAUUUCUAUCUUCUCCCAACCUCCUAGUCUCUAUACACACACACACACACACCAUACAUGUGCACACCACACACACAUAGCACCCAAUCCUGACCCCUCGUCUGUUUAUAUCCUUUUACCCCUUCCUCACCGGUAGGAGGGAGUUGUUAGACUCUGGUCACAGAAAUAAUCAUUGAUGUAAGUGGUGAGAAGGCGCCGGUCCCAGUCAUCUGUGACAUGGCCACCAUAGUUGACGCCGGCGAUGAGAUAUUUGAGUGCAUCCCAGGGUGUCUCCUCAUACUCAUCCAGAUAGAGGCUCAGCAGGUUCUCUGACACCUGUGUGUGGUUCCGACCCAAGCCCCAUAUGGUUAUGGCAAGAACUCCUCCGAUGGGUCUGUAACACCAGCUUUCUGGCAGCCAGUAUUCCCACAAAAGAGCCAUGGGUCAAGAAGUAUGAGAAGAAAGGGCUGUCGUGGGAGGCCCCUAGUUAGCACAAACCUCGAAGUCAGAGUCGUUGAAGCCAUAGAUGAUAUUCCAGCCAAGCUGCAAGAACUUUUUGCGUUCAAGUAAUAUAGAGUGGAAGAAGCAGAGCGCAAACAGCAGCUUCUUAUACUUGGCAGGCUUGGAGCAGCGCGUGAACUGUGGUUCCGUCAUCAGCUGAUACAGCCGUGUCAUGUUGGCCUUCAGACCCUGCGGACAGGACAGUACAGGGUGAUAUUUGUGGUACUCAACUCUGUCUGUCACUAGCAGCAUCAUGGGCAGUUGCGGAGGAGGCCUUGCACAAAGGUCCUGGCUCAAGGAGGGAUGGAAGCCUCUAGAGUACUAGCCUCUGAUCUGCAUGCCAAGAUAGACGCUCCUUCGCAGGGUGGGCACCUUUGAGAUCUACUGCGUAUGCUACUGGUAAUCCUACCUUCUCCCUCACACCAUUUAUUCAUUUGGGGGGAUAGUCCUGGACAUUGAACCUUGGGCUUUAACAUGUGAGGCAAUCACUCUGCCACUGGGCUACGUCCUAAGCCACUCCCUCCCCAUUUCUGGAGAGAAGUUCUCAGGGUAUAGCUCUAGAUGGCCUGGAAUUCCUGUGUAGAUUAGGUGACCUGGAACUCAACGGACUACAGAUAGGGGUCACAGCACCCAGCCCGGCCUCCAUGUUUGAUUCUCUCAAUCAUGAUGUCCCCGAAGAAUGAGCCAAUUCAAUUUGCAAGUGCCAGAAAAUAUGGCAAAAUACCGAAGGUGUGCACCUACAAUUAUGUGUUCACUGGUAUUUGUUUUGUUUUAUUUCAAUGCUGGGGAUUGAACCGCAAAGCCUUGUUCAAGCCAGGAAAAUAUUCUACCACUGAGCUAUACUCUCAGUCCGCUGCAACUGAGAAUUUUUUUUUAAAUGUAUGGAAUUGUGGGAGACCAAAGUAAGAGGAUCAAAACUUCGAAGCCAGCCUGGGCUACUUGGCAAAAGGAGAAAAGACAAACCGGAAACCAUGUUACAGGAAAGAUUAGCAUCUGGACUGUGUGACUAUGGAGCGAUGUCAAGUACACUGCACUAAGUGGGAAAAGAAACCAUAUGGUAUGACUGUAUUUGUGACACAGAGUUGUGUGUUAAAAUUAGAAAGAAAAUUACAAACAAUAUUCAAAUAAUGGCUCUGGGUCUGGAGAGAAGGGGCAAGAUUAAGAAAAGACGCUUUAAAGAAAUGUUUCCAAAAAGGA